GGUGAGUGCCGUGUUAAUGGGGUGAGUGUCGUGUUAAUGGGGUGAGUGCCGUGUAUUGGGGUGAGGGGAGUGUAUUCAUUGUGAGUAGACAAACAACUAAAGGAUCAGCGCUUAGUGGCCAACUAGAAGAUUAGAUAAGAGUAGGCAGCAAUCUAAAGGUAAGAGUUGCCUAUAAGUCCCAGUCAGUACAUUGGGCAGAGCAGAGCCUGGAG